UACUGUCUAUUUAGCAUUUUAGUCCACCUUCUCAUAGUGUUUUAUUUAUUUACUUGUGGAGGUGCCAUUAACUUCUUAAUUCCGUGUUGAAUUGUUGAGAAGUUUCCUGUCUCCGGUCGCCAACCUCGUGGUACUUGGCUUGCCACUCCUAACAAGAUGGCAGCGUAACCUUAGUACGUGUUGGUCUGUUGAAUAGAGUUUUAUUAUUUUUUUUAUUAUUUUUUUUUUUAAGGUAAGGUGGUCUGCCGCUAAUUUUGGAUUUUCUAUUGUUUUUGUAGAUUAGGCACCACUAGAUUUAACAUCGCAUUUAGGCCACAGUCUGUAAAAGUAGUCCUGGAGCCAAUGUAGUUUUAAUGGAGUCAAACCUUCAAUGAUGAGUUGCAUGUUCUCUACCUUGACUUGUUGUAAGGUGUUUUUCCUGAGCUCUAUCCUGGUCUAAAACAAAGAUAUAAAAAAAUACAAAUUUUAGACCCACACGUAAUGUUCAGUUUGGCUACAAUUAAUGAUAGGAAGAUAUGCAGUGCUAAUCAUUGCUGUGGCAUUACUCAACAACGCUAACCCUAUAUGGUUUCAGAUUAUUCCAAAAUAUUUUGUUUACAUCUUUUUAUUUGAGUUUUUUAACAGAGUUCAAAACAUCUCAGCCAAAACGAAAGUAACAGAAUAAUCUUAUUCAUGGUCCAUUUGGUAACAGCGGAAAGGUAAACUCUUAGUCUUUGUCUUAAUUCCAAAGUUGUGUUUGGCUGUGUCAUAAACAGGUCCUUUAUCCAAAAUAUUUAACUCUUAUGUAUACAGUACCAUAAUAUGCAAGGUUUUUUUUUUUUUUUUUUUGGAGACCAAUUUACCACAGAUUGCAACUUUUAGGAGAGGGAGAAUUGUUUACAAAAACAUUUGAAUUUGUAAUUUAAGGGGUGGAAAUGUGAAUUCUUUUUGUUGUACCCAUCAGUGACAUGUCCAAUAAAAUUUUACACUGUUGAAUCUUGUUUGAACUUUGAUUUGGCUCACAAUCAAGUUAGUGAAAAUUUAAAUGCAAAUCACACAGAAAUAUUGUCCAACUGUUUGCAAUGCCAUUUGGUACCGAUGCGCUAAUCCAUGCACAAUGUUAAAUAGGCAUUACAAGUUGCUGUCUCAGGGUACCCGUGGAUUAUUAAAAGUAUUAAAAAAAGCAUAGAAUUUUGUUUUCCAUUAUUAAAGGUAUUAAAAGCAUUAAAUUAGCUGUCAUAAGUCUGGAAUUUUCUCACAGUGGUUUUAAUUUUCAAGAACCUCUCGGUGCAACCUAAAUUAUAUCCGUGACGAAGUUGUUUUUUUGUUUUUUGUUUUUUUUAAUCCAAGAUGACAGAAUAUUUACGAUGCGCUGCACCUCGUGCGUGCGCGCCAUUAGCAUCAUUAGCAUCAACAGCAGGAAAUCGCACAGUACUGUGUGCUAAUGCAAGGAACUGCUCAGAUGCCUUAGUUAUGUUCGACGAAAGCCUCAACGAGACAACCAAGUCCAAACAGUUGGACCAGCAUGUGAGGUAUUGGAUCGGCGACCAAGUCGCCUCCAGAUACUUUGGGUUGCAGUUUAUGGGUCAUGUGAAGGCAGUGGACCUGCUAAACAUUUCAAAGUAAGUUGCCAAUUUCUCCAAUUAAAAUGUGUUAGAUGCAAUAAUGUAUUUCUGCACGGUUUGCCUUUCGAAUGAUUGUGAAUUUUGUAGUUUUAACUCAAGAGUUAGCCAUGUUCAAUGGGGUAUUGGCAGGUGCACUAGCCUUAGCAUGGAUAAACCGGAGUCGUAGAUCCACCAUCACCCUCAGAUAAACAACACGGUUCACACCAUUAUUGGAACGAGUGCGGGGUAACGUUGAUCUGAAUAACAUAGCAUGGUGAUAGGCAAAUUAUAAUGUAGGUGAUAGUAAAACACCUCCUGGUAUAUUUAAAUGGUUUUCUUGAUUGAAUAAGAGUAUGGAUUUUCGCCAUCUGAUUAAAAGAAAUGUCUUCAAUAGCUAACAAAGGAUUAACGUGUUUUUUUUAUAUUUCUUGUAAUGUGAUUAGAAAACAAUUACCAAGGGAAAUGGUCAUGUGUAGCUUUUUUAUUUUGUAGUAAUUAAUGGUAAACUACUGCCAUUUAGUGGCUGUAAACUUUCAACUGCCAAUUGCAAGCACUUUACAGUUAAGGUGGCCAACUUGACAAUC